GUCUCGCUUUGCUGAUUGACUAGAUGUGGAGAAGGAAGGAAAGAAAGGGAUUAAAUUUGGCCCCAAAAAUUUUUGGCUUGACUGACGUGAGAGAAGGAAUUGCCGUUUACUGACACAGAGAACACUGAAAGAAGAGGAACUCGGGGGCAAAGAAAUAGAGCAUUCCCGUGUCCCAGAAGCCCGUUGAGUGCUUGUUCCCAGUCGUGACCCUCCCAACCCCUUCCAUCGACCGGCCCCAAGCUAACUGCUGCUGAUCCUCCUCUUUUUGCUGAGGAAGACUGGCCCUGAGCUGACAUCCACGCCCAUCUUCCUCCACUUUAUAUGUGGGACACCUACCA
rnacentral:lncRNA from 1 species